GAUGAACGCUGGCGGCGUGCCUAAUACAUGCAAGUCGAGCGAACAGAUAAGGAGCUUGCUCCUUUGACGUUAGCGGCGGACGGGUGAGUAACACGUGGGUAACCUACCUAUAAGACUGGAAUAACUCCGGGAAACCGGGGCUAAUGCCGGAUAACAUUUAGAACCGCAUGGUUCUAAAGUGAAAGAUGGUUUUACUAUCACUUAUAGAUGGACCCGCGCCGUAUUAGCUAGUUGGUAAGGUAACGGCUUACCAAGGCAACGAUACGUAGCCGACCUGAGAGGUUGAUCGGCCACACUGGAACUGAGACACGGUCCAGACUCCUACGGGAGGCAGCAGUAGGGAAUCUUCCGCAAUGGGCGAAAGCCUGACGGAGCAACGCCGCGUGAGUGAUGAAGGUCUUCGGAUCGUAAAACUCUGUUAUUAGGGAAGAACAAAUGUGUAAGUAACUGUGCACGUCUUGACGGUACCUAAUCAGAAAGCCACGGCUAACUACGUG
rnacentral:rRNA from 1 species